UUUAAAUUGAGAGUUUGAUCCUGGCUCAGGAUGAACGCUGGUGGCGUGCCUAAUACAUGCAAGUCGUACGCUAGCCGCUGAAUUGAUCCUUCGGGUGAAGUGAGGCAAUGACUAGAGUGGCGAACUGGUGAGUAACACGUAAGAAACCUGCCCUUUAGUGGGGGAUAACAUUUGGAAACAGAUGCUAAUACCGCGUAACAACAAAUCACACAUGUGAUCUGUUUGAAAGGUCCUUUUGGAUCGCUAGAGGAUGGUCUUGCGGCGUAUUAGCUUGUUGGUAGGGUAGAAGCCUACCAAGGCAAUGAUGCGUAGCCAAGUUGGGAGACU
rnacentral:rRNA from 1 species